rnacentral:rRNA from 1 species
GACGAACGCUGGCGGCGUGCUUAACACAUGCAAGUCGAACGGAAAGGCCUGCUUUCCCUUGUGGAUUGCGGGUACUCGAGUGGCGAACGGGUGAGUAACACGUGAGUGAUCUGCCCCCAACUUGGGUAUAAGCCUGGGAAACUGGGUCUAAUUCCCGAUAGGACUGCAGGGUGGUGCCUGUGGUGGAAAACGAUCUUCUAGUGGUUGGGGAUGAGCCCGCGGCCUAUCAGCUUGUUGGUGGGGUAAUGGCCUACCAAGGCGGCGACGGGUAGCCGGCCUGGGAGCGUGGACGGCCACAUUGGGACUGGGAUACGGCCCCGACUCCUACGGGAGGCAGCCGUGGGGAAUAUUGCACCAUGGGCGGAAGCCUGAUGCAGCGACGCCGCGUGGGGGAUGACGGCCUUCGGGUUGUAAACUCCUUUCGACCGCGAGGAAGCCACCUGGUUGGAAGGGUGGUGACGGUAGUGGUAGAAGAAGCACCGGCUAACUACGUG